AAGAGAGAGAUGUGGAAGAUUUAUUCGUUAUGCGGUCAAUUAGCAUUCAAUUCGUCAUUCGUAACGUUGAAAGUACCCACCACUACUAGAUUGCCUGAGAUUAUAUGCAAACUGAAGUAUGGAGUGAAUCCGUAAGACUUGGCGUUGGAAAGCGAAAACUGGAGGUAAUUUUUGUGUGUUAUUAUAAAUGACAAAGGCGAACUAGAAAAAGCAUGGUUAAAUUUAACUAUUAAACUUUUAACUAUACAGAAUACAGUUAAGUUUAAAGUGUAAUAAUAUCUGUACCCCCCCAGUAAUUACUAUACCUACUCGUUACGUUUUCAUAUUUUGCAAUUCACCGACAGUAAUUCUAAUAUUUUUUUAUUUAGAUCACAGAAUUCGAGUCCGGAAUACCUACUAUGCCUUGCUAUUUAGGUAUAUGUGCAUUACUACAAUGACUACGGUUUCAUCAAGAAAGGUAUGUGAACGUUUUGUACAUCAUGCGGUCUUGUUUGCAUU